GGAGAGAGGCCCGAGUGGCCGAAGGGAGCGGUUUGCUAAAUCGUCGUAGGGGUCAGACCCUACCCAGGGUUCGAAUCCCUGUCUCUCCG
rnacentral:tRNA from 1 species